UACGGAAGGGGCUAGCGUUGUUCGGAAUUACUGGGCGUAAAGAGCGCGUAGGCGGCUUACCAAGUUGGAGGUGAAAUCCCGGAGCUCAACUCCGGAACUGCCUUCAAAACUGGUAGGCUCGAGUCCGGAAGAGGGGCGUGGAAUUCCCAGUGUAGAGGUGAAAUUCGUAGAUAUUGGGUAGAACACCGGUGGCGAAGGCGGCGCCCUGGUCCGGUACUGACGAUGAGGCGCGAAAGAGUGGGGAGCAAACAGG
rnacentral:rRNA from 1 species